AUUGAACGCUGGCGGCAUGCCUUACACAUGCAAGUCGAACGGCAGCGCGGGGCAACCUGGCGGCGAGUGGCGAACGGGUGAGUAACAUAUCGGAACAUACCCUAGAGUGGGGAUAACGUAGCGAAAGUUACGCUAAUACCGCAUACGCACUAAGGUGGAAAGUGGGGGAUCUUCGGACCUCAUGCUCAUGGAGUGGCCGAUAUCUGAUUAGCUAGUUGGUGAGGUAAAGGCUCACCAAGGCGACGAUCAGUAGCUGGUUUGAGAGAACGACCAGCCACACUGGAACUGAGACACGGUCCAGACUCCUACGGGAGGCAGCAGUGGGGGAAUUUUUGGACAAUGGGGGCGAACCCUGAUCCAGCAAUGCCGCGUGAGUGAAGAAGGCU
rnacentral:rRNA from 1 species